AACUUAAGCAUAUCAAUAAGCGGAGGAAAAGAAACCAACAGGGAUUGCCCUAGUAACGGCGAGUGAAGCGGCAACAGCUCAAAUUUGAAAUCUGGCCUCGGCCCGAGUUGUAAUUUGCAGAGGAUGAUUUUGGCGCGGUGCCUUCCGAGUUCCCUGGAACGGGACGCCACAGAGGGUGAGAGCCCCGUAUGGUCGGACACCAAGCCUGUGUAAAUCUCCUUCGACGAGUCGAGUAGUUUGGGAAUGCUGCUCAAAAUGGGAGGUAAAUCUCUUCUAAAGCUAAAUAUUGGCCAGAGACCGAUAGCGCACAAGUAGAGUGAUCGAAAGAUGAAAAGCACCUUGAAAAGGGGGUUAAACAGUACGUGAAAUUGUUGAAAGGGAAGGGCUCGUGACCAGACUUGUGCCAGGCGGCUCAUCCGGCGUUCUCGCCGGUGCACUCCGCCUGGCUCAGGCCAGCAUCGGUUCUUGCCGGGGGAUAAGAGCUUCGGGAACGUGGCCCCCUUCGGGGGGUGUUAUAGCCUGUCGCACGAUGCCCUGGCGGGGACCGAGGUUCGCGCUCCGCAAGGAUGCUGGCGUAAUGGUCACCAACCACCCGUCUUGAAACACGGACCAAGGAGUCGUCCAUCAGAGCGAGCGUUUGGGUGUAAAACCCGCACGCGUAAUGAAAGUGAACGCAGGUGAGAGCUUCGGCGCAUCAUCGACCGAUCCUGAUGUAUUCGGAUGGAUUUGAGUAAGAGUUUUGCUGGACGGACCCGAAAGACAGUGAACUAUGCUUGUAUAGGGUGAAGCCAGAGGAAACUCUGGUGGAGGCUCGCAGCGGUUCUGACGUGCAAAUCGAUCGUCAAAUAUGAGCAUGGGGGCGAAAGACUAAUCGAAACUGUCUAGUAGCUGGUUACCGCCGAAGUUUCCCUCAGGAA
rnacentral:rRNA from 1 species